UGGGCAGUCCUGUACGGCCAGCUCCCUUUGAAUCCCCCAGGGUGGGAACGCAGCAAGGGUAUUAGGUCGUAGCGGCGCGAUGCAGGUAGCUGCCCAC
rnacentral:SRP_RNA from 1 species